UACGUAGGGUGCGAGCGUUGUCCGGAAUUACUGGGCGUAAAGGGCGCGUAGGCGGUCUGCUAAGUUGGAUGUGAAAACUCUGGGCUUAACCCAGAGCCUGCAUUCAAUACUGACAGGCUAGAGUUCUGGAGGGGAUAGCGGAAUUCCUGGUGUAGCGGUGAAAUGCGUAGAUAUCAGGAGGAACACCGGUGGCGAAGGCGGCUAUCUGGACAGAGUCUGACGCUGAGGCGCGAAAGCUAGGGGAGCAAACAGG
rnacentral:rRNA from 1 species